UAAUUUUAGUCAACUUCUGUAAUUAUUAUAAGAAGAAAAAUGCAAAAAAAAAACAAAAAAAAACAUACCAUCAUCACCUAGCCCUGAGACCAAUUAUCCGACAUCCGUGAUCCGAACCGGGAUCCGUUGCGACCCGUUCCGGAAAACCGGAUAUCCGGAUAGAGCGGAGCCGGAUCCGGAUAGUGAAAUAAUGGAUCCGGCCGGAUACGGAUACGGAUAGUGGAAAAUUUUAGACCGGAUAUCCGGAUCCGGUAUUUUUAAUAUUUUAUUAUUAUUUUUAUUAAUAUUUAUUAAUAUUAAUAUUACAUAAUAUAUUUUUCUUAUUUUUAUAUAUUAAAAAUUGUUUUUCUUAUUUUUUUUAAAAAAUUAAUACAUUUUUAAAAAAUUUUAAAUUUUUUAUGAUAAUUUAAAAAAAAAAAAAAAAAUACCGGAUACGUAUAUCCUGUUUUUAGUACAAAUAUCCGGUACCCAGAUAUCCGGGAGAACGGAUCCGGAGCCGGAUAUUAAACUUACGGAUCCGCCGGAUACGGAUACGGAUCCGGAUAUCCUAAAAAAGGUCGGAUAUCCGGCUCCGCCCCAGGCCUAUCAUCACCCAACUCGUAUUCACCUAAAUCCUUUAUCAUAUAAAAAUAAUAACUUUUAAGUUCUAACUUCUAAGAAAAAGUUCCCUAUUUACAAGCUAAAUCCUAAACUUGUAACCUAUACAAAACGUAACUCAAAC
rnacentral:lncRNA from 1 species